GAGGAAUAUUGGGCAAUGCCCGCAAGGGUGACCCAGCAACGCCGCGUGGAGGAUGAAUGUCGUAAGAUUGUAAACUCCUGUUAGAGGGGAAGAAUAGUACCGGUUGGACCGGUAUAUGACUGUACCCUCAGAGAAAGCCCCGGCUAACUACGUGCCAGCAGCCGCGGUAAUACGUAGGGGGCAAGCGUUGUCCGGAUUUACUGGGUGUAAAGGGCGCGCAGGCGGGAUAAAAAGUCAGUGGUGAAAUCCUACAGCUUAACUGGAGAACUGCCUUUGAUACUUUUAUUCUUGAGUUCGAGAGAGAGAGACGGAAAUCCAGGUGUAGUGGUUAAAUACGUAGAUAUCUGGAAGAACACCAGUUGCGAAGGCGGUCUCUUGGUCCGACACUGACGCUGAGGCGCG
rnacentral:rRNA from 1 species